rnacentral:rRNA from 1 species
UAAGGAAUAUUGGUCAAUGGACGCAAGUCUGAACCAGCCAUGCCGCGUGAAGGAUGAAGGUCCUCUGGAUUGUAAACUUCUUUUAUAGGGGACGAAACCUCUUUUUCUAAAGAGACUGACGGUACCCUAGGAAUAAGCACCGGCUAACUCCGUGCCAGCAGCCGCGGUAAUACGGAGGGUGCAAGCGUUAUCCGGAUUCACUGGGUUUAAAGGGUGCGUAGGAGGGCAGGUAAGUCAGUGGUGAAAUCUCCAAGCUUAACUUGGAAACUGCCGUUGAUACUAUCUGUCUUGAAUACCGUGGAGGUGAGCGGAAUAUGUCAUGUAGCGGUGAAAUGCUUAGAUAUGACAUAGAACACCAAUUGCGAAGGCAGCUCACUACACGAAUAUUGACUCUGAGGCACGAAAGCGUGGGGAUCAAACAG